rnacentral:rRNA from 1 species
UGGGCGUUAAGUUGCAGGGUAUAGACCCGAAACCCGGUGAUCUAGCCAUGGGCAGGUUGAAGGUUGGGUAACACUAACUGGAGGACCGAACCGACUAAUGUUGAAAAAUUAGCGGAUGACCUGUGGCUGGGGGUGAAAGGCCAAUCAAACCGGGAGAUAGCUGGUUCUCCCCGAAAGCUAUUUAGGUAGCGCCUCGUGAAUUCAUCUCCGGGGGUAGAGCACUGUUUCGGCUAGGGGGCCAUCCCGGCUUACCAACCCGAUGCAAACUGCGAAUACCGGAGAAUGUUAUCACGGGAGACACACGGCGGGUGCUAACGUCCGUCGUGAAGAGGGAAACAACCCAGACCGCCAGCUAAGGUCCCAAAGUCAUGGUUAAGUGGGAAACGAUGUGGGAAGGCCCAGACAGCCAGGAUGUUGGCUUAGAAGCAGCCAUCAUUUAAAGAAAGCGUAAUAGCUCACUGGUCGAGUCGGCCUGCGCGGAAGAUGUAACGGGGCUAAACCAUGCACCGAAGCUGCGGCAGCGACACUGUGUGUUGUUGGGUAGGGGAGCGUUCUGUAAGCCUGUGAAGGUGUGUCGUGAGGCAUGCUGGAGGUAUCAGAAGUGCGAAUGCUGACAUAAGUAACGAUAAAGCGGGUGAAAAGCCCGCUCGCCGGAAGACCAAGGGUUCCUGUCCAACGUUAAUCGGGGCAGGGUGAGUCGACCCCUAAGGCGAGGCCGAAAGGCGUAGUCGAUGGGAAACGGGUUAAUAUUCCCGUACUUGGUGUUACUGCGAAGGGGGGACGGAGAAGGCUAUGUUGGCCGGGCGACGGUUGUCCCGGUUUAAGCGUGUAGGUGUGUGUUCCAGGUAAAUCCGGUUCACUUUAACACUGAGGCGUGACGACGAGGCACUACGGUGCUGAAGCAACAAAUGCCCUGCUUCCAGGAAAAGCCUCUAAGCAUCAGGUAACAUCAAAUCGUACCCCAAACCGACACAGGUGGUCAGGUAGAGAAUACCAAGGCGCUUGAGAGAACUCGGGUGAAGGAACUAGGCAAAAUGGUGCCGUAACUUCGGGAGAAGGCACGCUGACACGUAGGUGAAGUGAUUUACUCAUGGAGCUGAAGUCAGUCGAAGAUACCAGCUGGCUGCAACUGUUUAUUAAAAACACAGCACUGUGCAAACACGAAAGUGGACGUAUACGGUGUGACGCCUGCCCGGUGCCGGAAGGUUAAUUGAUGGGGUCAGCGCAAGCGAAGCUCCUGAUCGAAGCCCCGGUAAACGGCGGCCGUAACUAUAACGGUCCUAAGGUAGCGAAAUUCCUUGUCGGGUAAGUUCCGACCUGCACGAAUGGCGUAAUGAUGGCCAGGCUGUCUCCACCCGAGACUCAGUGAAAUUGAACUCGCUGUGAAGAUGCAGUGUACCCGCGGCAAGACGGAAAGACCCCGUGAACCUUUACUAUAGCUUGACACUGAACAUUGAGCCUUGAUGUGUAGGAUAGGUGGGAGGCUUUGAAGUGUGGACGCCAGUCUGCAUGGAGCCGGCCUUGAAAUACCACCCUUUAAUGUUUGAUGUUCUAACGUGGACCCGUGAUCCGGGUUGCGGACAGUGUCUGGUGGGUAGUUUGACUGGGGCGGUCUCCUCCUAAAGAGUAACGGAGGAGCACGAAGGUUGGCUAAUCCUGGUCGGACAUCAGGAGGUUAGUGCAAUGGCAUAAGCCAGCUUGACUGCGAGCGUGACGGCGCGAGCAGGUGCGAAAGCAGGUCAUAGUGAUCCGGUGGUUCUGAAUGGAAGGGCCAUCGCUCAACGGAUAAAAGGUACUCCGGGGAUAACAGGCUGAUACCGCCCAAGAGUUCAUAUCGACGGCGGUGUUUGGCACCUCGAUGUCGGCUCAUCACAUCCUGGGGCUGAAGUAGGUCCCAAGGGUAUGGCUGUUCGCCAUUUAAAGUGGUACGCGAGCUGGGUUUAGAACGUCGUGAGACAGUUCGGUCCCUAUCUGCCGUGGGCGCUGGAGAACUGAGGGGGGCUGCUCCUAGUACGAGAGGACCGGAGUGGACGCAUCACUGGUGUUCGGGUUGUCAUGCCAAUGGCACUGCCCGGUAGCUAAAUGCGGAAGAGAUAAGUGCUGAAAGCAUCUAAGCACGAAACUUGCCCCGAGAUGAGUUCUCCCUGAGACUUUAGGUCUCCUGAAGGAACGUUGAAGACGACGACGUUGAUAGGCCGGGUGUGUAAGCGCAGCGAUGCGUUGAGCUAACCGGUACUAAUGAACCGUGAGGCUUAACCUUACA